CACACUCUCAUGUUCUGAUUUGAAGAUGCUAUGUUAGGCAUCAACAUACAUGGAGUUCAAUAGAACAAGAGUCAUGGAUUAUGCAUUUUAUAUUAUUAUUACAAUUAAAGGACAAGAUGGGAAAAAUGAAUCUCUACAGUUUUCCAAAGAAUAUGAAAAAAGUGAGUGGGGCCCACCUAAAACUUUCCCCAAUCUCAUUCUGAAUCAAACAGCAGCUUCUUGCUCCCGAGUCGGCCAGCACGCGCCGCCGGGCCGCAUCUCGUCUCCCUCCUCGAAGCACCUCCUCUCCCUGGCUCCACGACGCGGCGGCCUGCUAGCUCUCUGGGCGGGCUACUAAUUCUCCGGAUGGUGUCGACUGCUACUUCUCCGAUGCCGCGCGCGCGGCCCGUGCGGUCCGCUGCGCCUCCGUCGGAUGCGCAAGCAGGAGGCGGACGCGCGGCCCGCUGUGCCUCCUUGCGCCCCCAUCGCCCGAGGCAGACCGUCGUGCUCGCCUGCUCCAUCCGGUCCCGUCGUCGAGGAGUCCUCUUCGCCGGCGUCGCGCCCGUCUCUGUGUUUCCCAUGUCGUGGCGGCGUGCUCCUCUGCGCCGGCGCCGCACAACCUCAUGUCAGCUUUCGUCGCUGCGAUGCCCACGGCCGGCGGUGUGCUCCUCCCUACUCCACGCCCACCUUCGCCCGACCUUCAGCUGCGCGUCGUGAUGCAGCGAGACUCGAGCUGCGUGUUCCUGUACGCGUCGAUCUGCUGCUUCCUUCGGCUUCGUCAGGACUCCGGCCUUGUCGAGCUCCUCUCCUCGCGUCGCGCUCCUGCUCCAUCGAACAACAGAGCUGUUCAUGCCCCGUCCGCGGCACUAUCCGUCUCCGUCAAGCGGGGACAUUAGCAACUUCUGCGGCCUCCUCCCCUCGCGGUGGGGUUUCAGUGAACGACAGUAGGCUUGUAGGCUCAUUGUGUUGUAGGAGCUUUGCUGAAAUGACAGAAAUUUGCAUGUGUUGUAAGAG
rnacentral:misc_RNA from 1 species